UACGUAGGGUCCGAGCGUUGUCCGGAAUUACUGGGCGUAAAGAGCUCGUAGGUGGUUUGUCGCGUUGUUCGUGAAAACUCACAGCUUAACUGUGGGCGUGCGGGCGAUACGGGCAGACUUGAGUACUGCAGGGGAGACUGGAAUUCCUGGUGUAGCGGUGGAAUGCGCAGAUAUCAGGAGGAACACCGGUGGCGAAGGCGGGUCUCUGGACACUUCCUGACACUGAGGCACGAAAGCUAGGGGAGCAAACAGG
rnacentral:rRNA from 1 species